AUUGAACGCUGGCGGCAGGCCUAACACAUGCAAGUCGAGCGGAGCGGCGGACGGGUGAGGAAUAGCUGGGAAACUGCUUGAUGGAGGGGGAUAACUACUGGAAACGGUAGCUAAUACCGCAUACUAUCGACUUAGCCUCUGUCGGAUUAGCUAGUGGGUGGGGGAAAGGCCUACCAAGGCGACGUUCCGUAACUGGUCUGAGAGGAUGAUCAGUCACACUGGAACUGAGACACGGUCCAGACUCCUACGGGAGGCAGCAGUGGGGAAUAUUGGACAAUGGGCGAAAGCCUGAUCCAGCCAUGCCGCGUGUGUGAAGAAGGUCUUCGGAUUGUAAAGCACUUUAAGUUGGGAGGCGUUACCAACAGAAUAAGCACCGGCUAACUUCGUGCCAGCAGCCGCGGUAAUAC
rnacentral:rRNA from 1 species